rnacentral:rRNA from 1 species
GAUGAACGCUGGCGGCGUGCCUAAUACAUGCAAGUCGAGCGAAUGGAUUAAGAGCUUGCUCUUAUGAAGUUAGCGGCGGACGGGUGAGUAACACGUGGGUAACCUGCCCAUAAGACUGGGAUAACUCCGGGAAACCGGGGCUAAUACCGGAUAACAUUUUGAACCGCAUGGUUCGAAAUUGAAAGGCGGCUUCGGCUGUCACUUAUGGAUGGACCCGCGUCGCAUUAGCUAGUUGGUGAGGUAACGGCUCACCAAGGCAACGAUGCGUAGCCGACCUGGGAGGGGGAUCGGCCACGAUGGGACUGAGACGCGGCCCAGACUCCUACGGGAGGCAGCAGUAGGGAUUCUUCCGCAAUGGACGAAAGUCUGACGGAGCAACGCCGCGUGAGUGAUGAAGGCUUUCGGGUCGUAAAACUCUGUUGUUAGGGAAGAACAAGUGCUAGUUGAAUAAGCUGGCACCUUGACGGUACCUAACCAGAAAGCCACGGCUAACUACGUGCCAGCCGCCGCUGUAA